UGGGGAAUAUUGCACAAUGGGCGCAAGCCUGAUGCAGCCAUGCCGCGUGUGUGAAGAAGGCCUUCGGGUUGUAAAGCACUUUCAGCGAGGAGGAAGGGUUCAGUGUUAAUAGCACUGUUCAUUGACGUUACUCGCAGAAGAAGCACCGGCUAACUCCGUGCCAGCAGCCGCGGUAAUACGGAGGGUGCAAGCGUUAAUCGGAAUUACUGGGCGUAAAGCGCACGCAGGCGGUUUGUUAAGUCAGAUGUGAAAUCCCCGCGCUUAACGUGGGAACUGCAUUUGAAACUGGCAAGCUAGAGUCUUGUAGAGGGGGGUAGAAUUCCAGGUGUAGCGGUGAAAUGCGUAGAGAUCUGGAGGAAUACCGGUGGCGAAGGCGGCCCCCUGGACAAAGACUGACGCUCAGGUGCGAAAGCGUGGGGAGC
rnacentral:rRNA from 1 species